AAGGAAUUAGUUAAAUAAAUAACAUUAGAUUGUCAAACUAAAAUUAUUAGCUUAUAGUAUUCUUUA
rnacentral:tRNA from 1 species